CCCCCCAUGGGGGCAUGAUCUUAGGGUAAAGUCAAAAUGAAAAUACUGAAUAUAUGGGAGGCCCACUCUGAGUCUCACUGCCUCCCGUGUGCCUGCUACAUGGAAUUCUCAAGAGCCAUGAGCAUCUCACUCACUUCCUAGUCAGAGUGAGUGGCUCGUAGCAUCUUGACAGGAUUGGCACCUGAGAAUAAAAUGCCACCUGAGGACUCCUGGUGGAGCCCUCCAUGAAGCCAUAUCAAGAGUGGCCUUAACUGUGUGCCAGGCAGUGGGAAGUUCUAGGGAAACCUUUGAUGGAUUCUUUGGGGAGGGGGGAUACAGGUUGACACUGUCCCUUGAGCAAAAAGGAGGGAGAACUAGCUGAUGGUGACCAGCCACAUCCUAUGCAAUAGGAGCUUGUGUCCACAUGGUGACACGGUCGGUGACUUCCUUUCUCCUGCCAAUGACAAGGAGACAUCUUGGUGCAGGCCGUGGUGGAAGCAGCUGCUGUCCGAUUGUGCCCUGGGGCAGAGAUCAGGGUCCCUUUGCACCCUUGGGACCAGAUUCCUCUACCAUCACACAAUUUGGUCACACAGGGCUGGGGCAGGAGGACUGGAGGCUGCACAGUGCGGACACAGCACUCCUGAACCAGCUGAGCUCCCUUAGAUAGAAGAGUCCUUGUCAAAUGUGAGUCUCCUCAGUGCUCUGUCCCAGAGGGAACUGAUUGAUGGAGGAGCCGAUGAGCUCAGAGCUGGUGCGGGCAGUCUGGUCGGAUGGUGGUGACUCAAUGGGAAGAAAAGGACAGGAAUGGAGGCCCCUCACCCACACCGGUUGUCAAGCAUUGACAGGAAGAGGCCUGAGGUAUAUGCACAAAGACAGCUUAAUGGCUUUUGGUUAAAGCUCCUUCAGAACAUGCUGAGCUGGGAGAGGCUAGGGGAACCGUGGUGGCCCUGCAGUGGCUAGGACUGCUGGGCUAAAAGGGAGACACAACAGUAGCCAUAGGUUCAGGUGCUCCUCUCCCAGCACCCACCUAGCCCUCGGGGUACUGUGUGUACUCUGUGAAGGAGGUCUCAUUGAGCAAGGUCCCCAGUGCUCUGCCUGGCCCUUGAUGCCUUUAUACCUAGCACAGCUUCCUUGUGAGACCCUCCAAGGAUCUGUAAGCAGGAACCAUCAGGCAGGGAGAAACAGAGAACUGAGGCACACUGGCUAUAUAAGCCAUGUGUCCUGGAAGGUCUGUUGUCAACUUGGGUUGCGCCUAAAGGCAAGGUCACACAUGACUUGGGUUGUUUCUACAAGGAACCCCAAAUGAGACCAACAUGCCAGCCUGGGCUCUCAGGCAACCAGAUCUUCUUCAGGGGACAGCAGAGCAUAGUUUUGGCCUCAGCCAGCUUCUACCAGUAGUUGCCACCUCUAUAGUCUGAGCUUGAAGUCCAAGUAUGCAGUCUCUGCCAGGCAACUCUACUAGCAACUCCAGGGCAUUUCAUUUCCAGCCCAUGAACCAAGCAUACUCCCAACCCAGGUACCACUCUGCCUCUCAGUGAGGGUGAAGAGGUUUGGAAUCAGGUAGCUCUGCCCAUUUGAGGUGCACACCCUCCACAGGCCUGUGUGCACCUGCAUCCUGCCAGCUACAAAGAUCCUAGCAAUGAUGUUGACUCUGGGGCUGGGUGCCUGGCACUGGGAUGAAGAGCUAGGGGUUAGCUUGAGAAAUGUUCUGAUAUGGGUGAUAGGGGGAGGAAUGCCCCAGAGAUGGGUUUCCCUGAAAGUCCCUUUCUUAUAUUUUUGGUUGUAAGCCUAGCCUUUAAUGGCUGAGCCAUCUCUCCAGCCCAAAGUCCCUUUCUUAAAUGGGCUCUCAUUGCAGUGAGAGGCCUGGGGACAAGACAGUGUCUAGAAAUUCUCUUGUGAUGUGACCAGCCCCAGAUGCAGAGUCCAUGUGCCUCAUGUCAAGAUCAGACCCAGGACAGUGAAUCUGAAUGUCUUCAGAGGGGGAAGUGGGUCACUGUGGGGCCUUGGAGCUUCUGGGACAACAAGGGGACAUGUCAGGGAACCCCACAGCUUUUGGUCCUUAGCAAACACCAUGGGCAGAUCCUGCAGGUCUCGGUGGCAACCACCUCAUUGGGCUGAGGCCUGCUGAACUCAGAGGCACCCAAAGAGGCCACCGUGACCUUGAUGAACAGUGUUGUCCUGCUGUAGCAAGAUCCUUGAAACCUGUUGCCUACAUCCCACAUCAUGGCCUGGUUGAUGGCCUCUCUCACACACACACAGAGAGAGAGAGAGAGAGAGAGAGAGAGAGAGAGAGAGAGAGAGAGAGAGAGAGAAACAGCAGAAGAUGAGAGGGAGGAUGAGAGAAAGCCACUGAUUUACCCAUUAAGAAAAUUUGUGGAGAAUACUGCAUAGGAACCGAGGACCACGGUGAUCAGCAUCUCAGGAUUCAGGCGAAUGCAUGAUGUGUGUGUCCUACUCUUCCAGGGAUCCUCCUCUUGCCCCAUCUUGAGCUGGGAAGUGCUGGGCUGGGGGCCAGCAAAACACUCUGGCUCUGAUAGUGGACUCAUUUUUAACUGGUAUUAUUUUAUUAGCAGCUUUACUCAACCGGUUGGCAGCACCCCAACCCAGCCACCAGCCGACGACCCAGCUACAGGUGUGUAGGGAGGGCUCUGCCCAACUCUUCCAUUUAUAUACCCAGCCAGCAUGCUCCCCAUUUCCAGCGUCUCCCCUACUAAGCACUCUACAACACCCCACCCUUCCAGACUCAGCCCUGGGAAGGACAUCAAAUAGGCUGACUGCCAACUCCAUCCCUGGGAACUUGGGUGCUGACAGGGGCUGGGGUGGGUAAUACUCUGGCUAUAGAUAGAUUCAGGUGUCUGACUGGAGGCUGUCCCCAGUGAAAGCUGUGGCCCAAAGCCUGUUUUCUGACAGGAGAGAUUCCCCCAGCCUAUCAAGCCAAAGACCCCAGGGGCCUGCUCUUUGUCAGUCACUAUCACCUCCUAAAUUAAGCCUCUGAUGGAAACAAGCCUCACGUACGUCACACUCCAAAUUAAACUAUUAAUGUGUUCCACUCAGGCCUCAAACACAGGACCUGCCUGUCCACCAAGGUGACAAGGCCCACUCUGCUUAUUGCUUCUCACCUGGGAAGUUACUGCAGAGUGUAAAUGUGGCAUAUAACUCUUGGAGACCGGCUGGAGCUGGAACAGCUUAUCAAAGCCUUUGGUGAUAUCUCACAACAGAGGUCUGGGGGCAUCAGGAGAUGGUGUCUGCUGGGACAUUUGGUUGGAGACAGGAGUCCAGAUUCUAUGUUAGGAGAUAUAGACGCUGCUUUUCUUCAGCUCUUGUGUCGGAAAGAAGUUGGCAGGCCAUGGGAAAGUGUCCAGGGUGGAGCACAUGGUCUUGGGAGAGAAUGAGGCCAACAUGGGCAGCAGGUCUGCUUUUUCCACUCAGCUGGGAGCCUUCCUGAGACUGGAAGAGGCUGGUCUUUGAGGGCAGAGCCAAUGUAGAUUGGGCACCAAUAGGACAUCUGGUCAUGACAGUAUCUAUGUAUCUGGUUUAGGCAUACUUAAAGCCAGUAAUACUCCAGACUGAGUUACAACUCCCCAGGUCCCUCUCUGUCAGGCCAGUUUGGGUUUGGUUUUCCAUCACUUCCAAGUGAAGAAGACCUGCCGGCCUUCGAGUUCUAGGGGGUAGUGUGUGGGGCAGACCCCGCUCAUGUCAGGUGGUGGAAAAGACACCAUAGUCUGUCUCAUAACAAGAAAAACAGCAGACAAAUCCAAACCAAGGGCCAUUCUGUAAAGUACUGGCAUGUCACCAAGACUAUCAUUGCUAAUUUUUUAAAGAGGGACAUUCCAUGGACGAUCACAGCUCUGAGGACAUGGGGCAUCUGAGUGUCAUGUGGGGCUCUGGGACAGAGAAGGACAGCAGAAAAAAGUUGCUGGAUUCCCACCGUGGUGAGAUGUACAUGAAGAUAUCUCACUAAGUUGAUGUGAGGGUGACUACCGGCUUGGGGACUCUACACCUUUCACCUGAAACUAUUCCAAAAGUGGAAAGUGUCCUUGAAAUGGGAGGAAAGUGGAACCGAUUGCUCCUUCAGAGGUGAGUGUCUGUCCAUCCAGUCCGUAAGAGUGAGAAGCUGUGGCAGGUGCUCUCAGAUUUAUUACCACCUCCGGGAUUCUGAGGAAGAGCCUGCAAAAUACUUGCAACACUCCACUAGGGGGAGCUAUGAGCACCAAAUUGCUUUAUGAGGGCAAAGUCGGCUGUGGGAAAAUGUCACUAACAAAUGCCUUUCCUGGAUUCGGUGGGUAGGUGGGUGUCACAGCAGGCCGUUCUCAAAGCGUAACAGCUAUCUGAAUGAAAUACUGGAGGUGUGGGGGCCUCUGCAAGACAGGCAGCUGACCGCCCCUUCCCCCAGCCUUCCCAGGGUUACAGACAGCAGAAUUCCCAGACAGACUAGGCCUCUGUGGGGGCGGUUUCAUCAGAGACCCCCGGGGUACACUGCUGCAGCCACCCUGUCCUGGUGCCCAGCCCCAAGGCUGAGCCGCUGGUUGGCUGUGGCCAUCGAGCCCCCUUACAGUAAUCGUUGUGAUGAUGCUAAAUGUGUAGAGACUGCUUUCCCGGAAAACUGCUGACUUGCUCGUCUGGGAAGGGGAGGUGGUGAGAGACAGCCUGAUCCAUUCGACGCCUGAUGGCUCAGACCUUAAUCAAUCCCUCCUCUCGAAGCUAAAACAGUUGUGAUUUAUGAAAUCCUGCAAGUCGGAUCUCACGCAUUCUGAGCAGCAAAGAGGCACGCUCACCCGAUACCCUGCCAGGCAUGGCUUGUUUGCCUCCUCCAGACUUCUCUGAGAUUCUGGACCUGCUUUCCCUGGUCCCCCAGUCUUUGAGUUCAAUAGGGAACACAGCAAACGAACAUUCUGUGUCUCCCUGGGAUCUGCCACACCCUCCCCGGCAGCCUUCAAGGGACUGACCUGCCUCAUCACCUUCAUCAUCCAGCAGACUCUUGGGCAGUGACACAGGUUCACACGGUUCAGCGGAGGCUCUGAUCCUGACCCUAGCCUGGGACCAUUCUUUAUGCACAGUGAGAUGCCAACUGAGGAAAAAGCCAUUCUCUCAUUUGUGGAGGACAAACACAUUUUUAUUGGUAUGUUGCUCAGAAAUGACAGGAAAUACCAGCUUCUAUCCAGCUUCAAUUUGUCUCACGAGACAGUGUGCAUACGAGCACACAGGGGCGUGCUGUGUGCUGUGGGCGUGUGGAGGCCAGAGAUCAAGUCCAGGGGUCUUCCUCUAUCACUCUCCACCUUAUGUUUUGAGGUCGGGUCUCUCACUGAACCUAGAGCUUGUCGAUUUGGCUAGACUGGGCAGUGAGCUCCAGGGAUCCUUCUCCCUGUCCCUUCCACGUGAGCUGCUUCUCCUGGCUUUUUAACAUGGCUGCUGGGACUAUGGACUCAGAUCCUCAUACUUGCAUAGCAGAUACUCAGUUGGGCCAUCUUCCCCGCCCAGGCUUCAAUUGAAUUUUGUUUGAAAGGUAGACACAGUCACAGAGAAACGGACAAAAGAUUGGAAACUGUCCUUUUCACAAGCAAUAUGCUCAUGACAAAUGCUGACUUUAGUAUGAAUCCAAGGCACACUGUGAGAGAAUGAAUUCUCUUCUGUCAGAUUUUAAUUGUGAAGCCACAGAACUGACAAAGGGCCUGCUGGUGAGAAAAUCAACUUGACUGUCUUUCUGUAAAACGAAAGUUCUAAGGGUUCAUUUAGACACAGUGCACCACAGUUUCAGUAAAAUCUUCACAACAGACUGUGUCUUCCCUGGGAUCUGCCACACCCUCCCCAGCAGCCGUCAAGGGACCGACCUGACUCAUCACUUUCAUCAACCAGUAGACUCUUGGAUGGUGACACAGGUUCACAUGGUUCAGUGGAGACGCUGGGCCUGACCAGACAUUGAAUUUAACAUUCAGAGCUUGGAAUGAUCCUUGUGAGUUAAGUAAAUUAUGAUAAGAAAAUGUGUAGCUACAGUGUCAGAGAAAGUGUUAACUGAUAUGAAGCAAUAUCCAAAAUAUACUAAAUGGAGGGGACCCGAGGGGUAGUGCAGUGGGUAAAGGCACUUGCUGAGGAAACCUGCCAAACAUAGUUCAAUCCCUGAAACCAAUGUCAGUGCUUGUGUGGGAGUAUCCUGGAUAACUUCAGUGAUACGGUAAAAUGCGUCUCAAUUACAGGUGGGACCAUUCUCUGGUGUGUAUAAGUAGAGAAGGGGUACUGUGCAUCCCUUGCUUCUUCCCAUGACCAGCCGCUUUAGGCUCCCGUUGCCUUGACCUCCCGCUGUGAUGACUGAUUGUGCGUACCUUGAACUGUGAACUGGGAUAAACCCUUUCUCCCUUAAGUUGCUUUUGCUGGUGCAAUUUAUCACAGCAACAGGAAGGUAACCAAGAUGCAGACAAAAGGAGAACAGGGUCUUAGAUUUCUACACACAAGUUCCUUAUAGAAUUGCUCACAACAGCUGGGGCAGAAGCAGCCCAGAGCCCAUCAGUGGGUGAAUGAGACAACACAAUAUAUCAUCCACACAGAGUAUCUCUCAUCUCUGAGGAUGAGGGGUGUUUUGACAACCAUUACAGCACAAGUGAACACUGAGGGCACGAUGAAGAGAGAAAUAAGCCGGACACAAAAGGACAAAUGCUGCAUGAUCCAUCAACUUGAAUUCCCUGGAGCCACCAAAUGUAGAGACUGCAAGAAGAAUGAUGCCUAUCAGGAAAUAGGGACAGGGUGAUGGAGACUUGUGUCCAGGCUCUAGGAGAGGGUGAUGGAGACUGGUGUCCAGGCUCUAGGGAGAGGGUGACGGAGACUGGUGUCCUGGCACUAGGAGAGGGUGAUGGAGACUGGUGUCCAGGCACUAGGAGAGGGUGAUGGAGACUGAUGUCCAGGCUCUAGGGAGAAAGUGAUGGAGACUGGUGUCCAGGCUCUAGGGAGAGGGUGUUGGAGACUGGUGUCUAGUGGGGAUAGAGCCUCAGUGAGGGAAGGUGAUCACUCUGGAGCUAAAGGGUGGUGAGGGUUUCACAACAGGAACUGAGUACCCUCAGCUGUGCAUUAGAAAUGAUGAGAUGCAUAAGCCUAGCACUAUAUAUGUCUCCCCAGAAUAAAAACCUACACUAAUGGUUUAACUACAACAAAACCCAAGCACAGACAGGCGGCUGAUGCAUUUCAAAACCAGAUUUAGCUGUGUUCUAGGGGGGGGGGGAUGAUGCCAUUACCAAAGCAGAGCACUUGAUUAUGGUUCUGGGUCAGAUUUCUCAGCUCUUGAAGCCCUGUUAUCCAUCUGUGUGGAGGAGGAAAGGGCUCACACCACAGCUUGCUGUAAAGGUCAGAGCCCGACUGUACAUGCAAUGUGCUGAGCUUGCGAGGCCAUAGCUCCCACUGUACAGCUGUUCUCGCUGUGUUCCAUGGCCCAUCUGACCCUUGGACAUGUGGACUCCAGGCUCUAUGGCCUCAGUCUGGCAAGCCAGUAAAAGACAGUGGGUUUUGCUCUGAAUCUGUGAACUCAGGUCUUAGAAGAAACCAGGGAUAGGGUGGCAGGGGAGGUGAUUUUAGCAUGUGCUUCUCACAUGUCAAAAUGGGAUGAAGAUAGAAGACACCAACUGCAAAGGAAGGGCUUCCACAUGAGUCAGAGGGGGCCCUAGAUAUCAAGGACCUCAGGCCAGCAGCUGCUGUAUCCAAGUGCUGGGCACCCAAGUGGGCAUCUCAGCUAAAGCUGCCAGCGCAGAAUUCCCAUGUGUGAGAAGCUUGGGGGCGUCUGUUGUUGGUGUUCCGGAAGGCCUUCCCCAAGCUUCCCAGCAGAGCGAGAAAUGUAAGAGUGAGAGGGGAUGACAUGGGGGCUGAAUACAGAGACAGCCAUCCAAUGAGACCUUGCUGGGGUCCCCUGAGACUCACAUGAAUACUUGGCCGUCUGUGUAGCUCUGGGACCCUCCUAAUAGGUCUACCCUGGCAAGCCCAGAAUCGGUUUUUACAUCUAGGCUCCAUCUAGCCCAGACAUGCCAACACAGAUGCCUGGUGGAUGCUGGUGAGCAGAACACUGCCCCAGAUCCUAGUUAGAGUAUAUUUGCCCGAGGGACACAUCCUCUAUUAGCCGCAGGGGAAUAAGGCUUCAGGGACUCCACGGCAUGGCUAGGCCAAUCGGAAGCUGGGAAAGGAGGCUCUUGUGAGAUUUCUGCAGGACAGUGGAGUUUCUGCACUCUGGGGCCUACCCAGCCUGUGCACCAGGGUCUGACAUGCCCAUGCUGGACUGGAGCCUCUCUCCACCUGGCAUUCUGAGAUUAUUGCUUAUCCCAUCUACUCUGUUUAGGGUGCCCAGUGAGAAUCCUGAGGGCCACAGAUCUUCUCACUCCUCCUGAGUGAUGAGGCAUCAGAGAGAGUCCCAGGAAAGUUUCUGGCAGGUGCCCCAGGAUUUCCAUGCAGUGUAGACACUCUCACUGGCUCCCUCCAGCAAGGCUGGAGUGCCCGGGCUCAGCUGAGACACUUCCGCCCUCUGCUGGCAGAUAUGGGUACUACAGGGAAGGACUAGUGAGAAAAGCUGCCUGCAGGUGCUGGAGACUGAGAGCCUCCAGGAAUCUCAGGGCUUUACCAGGUCCGACAAGACCCAGCCCUGAGGCACAAAGGAGAAAGUUGGGGGAACUUAUUGGGUCCCAGAGCCAGAAAAGGGAACAAGAGUAGCCUACAGGGCUGGGAUUCUCUGUGCCACUUAGAGUCCCACUUUCUUACGAGUGGCAAGGUGGACAACAUUUUUCUAGUUGGAGAAACCGGGACGUUGAGAAGCAGGUGCCUUUGUGGGUUCCAGAUUGAAGCUCACUCUGGGGCCCGUGACAGGCUUGGGGAGGAGUGAGAGCAACAAUAGCAAUAAGCCAGGGAUGAAGCUAACCCUGGGGCUGCCGCUGUUGGGGCCACGUUCCCACAGCAUGACAGCAGCACAGGUCAGGAUGCCCUGGGAGAGGACUGGCCAUGCCAGACGUCUAGAGCUGACUCUGGAGUCCUUCUCAUGGAGACAAAGCGGUAUUUAAGACAUGCAGGUUCUAGGGUUCACUGUGGCCUUAUGCAUGGCAGAGCCCGCCUCCAUGAAGUUCACUCUAGGCCAAGCAGAGCCCUGAGCCUCAGCUUGAUCACAAUAGAGCCCGUAUGAGUCCCUCACCCACACAUGAGAACACAGGGCCCACACUGCGCAUGGCUGUCAGUCCCUCUGCUGUAAACAAGACUGGUUUAAAGUCAAGGUUUCCCUGGGUUGUAAGCCCUGGUUAUCCUCCUAAGAGAAUCAUGGGGCCUACAGGUGUUGCCCAUCAGUGCAUUCUCAAAAUCCAGGAUCCAUCGUGUCCCCAGCUUAUUUCUGGAGCUGGCAUGCACAUACUUGCCUUGCCACCCCUGGCCUCCCAGAAGCACCAGAGUUCUGAGCAUCCAGUAUCCUGUGACCGGCUCCUACUGGCCGCUGGAUCUCCAUACGACUAAAGCAUGCCUGGGCCAGACUCCAGCCUCACCAGGAUACCACAGGAUCCAGGACCAAACAGCGCCAGCUGUUUUACCACAAGCCCCAGUGUCUGGCGAUAAUGUGAGACCCAUAUGACUUUCCAGUGCAUAGAAUCCAGGAGAAAUUUAAUUAAAAUUGUUUUUUCUCUCACAGUUUUGUGACUAGAUCCCAGGGCCUUGUGUCUAUGAACCAAGUGCUCUAGCACUGAACCACAUCCCCAGCCUGAAAGACUUUUUUUUUUU
rnacentral:lncRNA from 1 species